rnacentral:rRNA from 1 species
GACAGAGGUGGCAAGCGUUGCUCGGAUUCACUGGGCUUAAAGGGCGCGUAGGCGGCUUUGUAAGUCCGAGGUGGAAUUCCACAGCUUAACUGUGGAACUGCCUUGGAAACUGCAAGGCUUGAGUCAGGUAGAGGGAGGCGGAAUUCCCGGUGUAGCGGUGAAAUGCGUAGAGAUCAGGAGGAACACCAGUGGCGAAGGCGGCUCUCUGGCCAGUUACUGACGCUCAUGCGCGAAAGCGUGGGGAGCAAACAGG